GUCCUAACAACUGUGAGGAAACCACGGGGAAAAGGCCAGAGCCUCCUUCAACAAAACAUGCAGUAAGCAACUCCUAAGUCAGAUGUUUCUAUAGGUUGUCUAAGAUAAAAAUACAAACAGAAAGUUCAGAUCUAAACAGAUGAAGUGUUAAAAAAAAACAACAUGAAGACAGAGCAGCAAAGAAGGCAGGGGAUCUCUGUGUCCUCGUGGAAUGUACAGCCUCCUGAGGUCACAGAGACAAAUCAAGAGAGCAAAUACAAGAUUCCAGAAAGAGGAAUGUAGUGUAGGCUUAGGAAACGUGACAUGCCAAUGUCUCGUGUAACCUGAAGCAGGAGAAGGUAUCCUAGGCAGGAUGGGGGAAGCCACCUCCCAGGUGGGACAUCUGACAGGCUUUCUUAUGGCUCCCAAAUGAAUAGGAACAAGGGAGAAAGAAGAAAAGACCCAGUCCCCAGGGGCCCACUGGACUGCUGUUGAUGCAGAGAACACUGCAGGACAGGGAGUGCUGGAGUAGCCCUUGUGGGCAGACAUGGAGGAAGGAUGAGAAGACAAGCCAAAGACCAGAGUGGCAACUCCUCAAACCCCAGGUCCCCCAGAGCCUGGAGGGUGCAGAGAAAGGGAAAGGCCAACACAGCUCCCGCAAUGGUAGCAUCUCCUUUGGAAAAUAUUAUGGGCAAUAAACCAAGCAAAGUGAUGCAUGAGCAGGCGUCUUGGCUCAUCACAGCAUCCCGAAGGGGUCCAGUUCUGGUGUUCACUGAUGAGCAGAUGCAUAAGCAGCUGCAGAUACACAUGAGUAGAGUGUUUCUCAGCCAUGAAGAGGAGAGACGCACUACUGCAUGCUACAAUGGUAGGUAAAGCUCAGAGACAUUACGCCAAGCAAAGGAAGCCAUGAUAACAGAACCUCACACUGUAUUAAACCUUCCCAUCACUUACACACUUAAGCGUUAGGAGGGAGCUGGGGAUGUAGCUCAGUGGUGCCGCCACCUGCCUCGCAAGCUCAAGGGCCCGAGUUCGAUCCCCAGUACUAUGUCAGACUCAAGGAUUCCACAGGAAUAAUUCACCCCACUGGAAAGUUGAGGAAACUGCAGCAAAGAGAAGUGACCGGCCUAAGUGAAUGCAACACAGCCAGAGUCUUCCAAAGCAAGGCUCAGAGACUGCAAAGCCGACUUUUGAGAGUUAGUUUGAGCCAAGUGGGGCAAGUUCAUCUUGGGGGCGUGGGCCUGCUCCACACCUGGGAGGUGGCGCAGGGAGGCAAGAGAUAGGAGGUACAAGAUCUCACCCCAGCAGAGAGGCCGGGCCAUCAGGAUUGCAGGGCAAGGAGAGGUAUUCCUGAGUGAAUGGACUUCAGGAAAUGGGAUGGGAGAGAGAACUGGGCAGGUGGUUGUUCUGAGGUCCCCACAGAAGGUCCACAACACCACAUGGCAUUCAGAAAGACGCAGCAAACCUGAAAACAUGGAGGUCAAGUCCUGGGUAGAAAUCUAGAGGAAAUACGUGAAUAUUUGUGCUUUGACCUCUCUGUCCUCCAUUGCCCGUUUCUCUUGAUGUACAACAUCUCAUCGCUGCUACAGAGGAGAUAGGUGAUACAACUACAAAUGCCUUAGGGACUUAGGAGGCAAAGAUCCUUUUCAGGGUGGAGACAUUUCUGAAGAAACUUUUUAACCCUGUCCCCGUUCCCUCCCUGCCUUCCAUUUUCUCCCUCUCACCACACCCCCAAUAUAACCAUAUGGUCACUUUUUUAACUUUUUAUUUUGAAAUGAUUACAGACUCCUAGGAAGUUGCAAGAACAGCAGAGAGAGCUGUCUCACGGAUCCUUCAGCUAGUGUCCCCCGGUGGUGACUUGCUUUCUAGCCAUGGCACAGUAUUCAAACCAGAAAACUGACACUGGUGAAGUACUGUUAACUAGACACUGACCUUGUUUGCUUUUUCACCGGUUUUUACGUGCGGUCCUGUGUGUGCUGUGUUUGUGUGUGUAGUUCAGUGCAAUUUGAUCUCUUGUGUGGAUUCACAUAACUGCCACCAAAGAAGCCACAGAGCAAUUUGUUCAGCACAAAGAAACUCCCUUGUGCUACCCUUGAUAGGCUGAUCUCCCCACCCUUGUUCCUGUCCCCUGGCAACCACUAAUCUCUUUUCCAUCUCUACAGUUUUGUUCUUUUGUGUGUGCUUCAUAAAUGAAAUCUUAUAAUACAAACUUUUAGGGAUUCAUCUUUUUCACUAAGCAUAAUGUUCCUGUCAUAUAUGGUGGGUUGAAUCACAUUUCACUCAAAAAUUAAUACGCUGAAGUCCAAACCCUCAGUACCUCAGAACAUGAACUUAUUUAGAAAUGGUAGAAAUAAGUAGUCAAUAUGAGGUCAGACUAGAGUAGACUGAGUCCCUAAUCCAGUGGUUACUAGUGUCCAUAUAAAAGGCAUUCCCACAAAGCCAACACCAUGGAAGAGAGUUAUGCGGCCAUGAGCCAAGGAACUGCCAGAAUUUAGGAGAAAGGGCAGGAUCAGACCCUUCACCAGCUUCAUCAGUGACAGCAUAUCCCAACAUCUUCUGACACUUUGACCUCAACUCUCCAGCUUCGGGAACCCUGAGACAACUUUCCUUUCCGU
ensembl:lincRNA